GCGGGUGUAGUUCAAUGGUAGAACUUCAGCUUUCCAAGCUGAUAGCGUGGGUUCGAUUCCCAUCACCCGCUCCG
rnacentral:tRNA from 1 species